AGUGGUAUUGCUGGAUCAUAUGCUAAUCCUGGUUAUCUUUUUUUAAGGUAUUGCCAUAUUUUUUUCAUAAUAACCAUACCAUUUUACAUUCCCACCAGCAAU
rnacentral:pre_miRNA from 1 species